rnacentral:rRNA from 1 species
CUAUCUACAGGCUUAACACAUGCAAGUCAAGGGGCAGCAUGGUCUUAGCUUGCUAAGGCCGAUGGCGACCGGCGCACGGGUGAGUAACACGUAUCCAACCUGCCGUCUACUCUUGGACAGCCUUCUGAAAGGAAGAUUAAUACAAGGUGGCAUCAUGAGUCCACAUGUUCACAUGAUUAAAGGUAUUCCGGUAGACGAUGGGGAUGCGUUCCAUUAGAUAGUAGGCGGGGUAACGGCCCACCUAGUCUUCGAUGGAUAGGGGUUCUGAGAGGAAGGUCCCCCACAUUGGAACUGAGACACGGUCCAAACUCCUACGGGAGGCAGCAGUGAGGAAUAUUGGUCAAUGGGCGAGAGCCUGAACCAGCCAAGUAGCGUGAAGGAUGACUGCCCUAUGGGUUGUAAACUUCUUUUAUAAAGGAAUAAAGUCGGGUAUGCAUACCCGUUUGCAUGUACUUUAUGAAUAAGGAUCGGCUAACUCCGUGCCAGCAGCCGCGGUAAUACGGAGGAUCCGAGCGUUAUCCGGAUUUAUUGGGUUUAAAGGGAGCGUAGAUGGAUGUUUAAGUCAGUUGUGAAAGUUUGCGGCUCAACCGUAAAAUUGCAGUUGAUACUGGAUAUCUUGAGUGCAGUUGAGGCAGGCGGAAUUCGUGGUGUAGCGGUGAAAUGCUUAGAUAUCACGAAGAACUCCGAUUGCGAAGGCAGCCUGCUAAGCUGCAACUGACAUUGAGGCUCGAAAGUGUGGGUAUCAAACAGGAUUAGAUACCCUGGUAGUCCACACGGUAAACGAUGAAUACCCGCUGUUUGCGAUAUACAGCAAGCGGCCAAGCGAAAGCGUUAAGUAUUCCACCUGGGGAGUACGCCGGCAACGGUGAAACUCAAAGGAAUUGACGGGGGCCCGCACAAGCGGAGGAACAUGUGGUUUAAUUCGAUGAUACGCGAGGAACCUUACCCGGGCUUGAAAGUUACUGACGAUUCUGGAAACAGGAUUUCCCUUCGGGGCAGGAAACUAGGUGCUGCAUGGUUGUCGUCAGCUCGUGCCGUGAGGUGUCGGCUUAAGUGCCAUAACGAGCGCAACCCUUGUUGUCAGUUACUAACAGGUUCCGCUGAGGACUCUGACAAGACUGCCAUCGUAAGAUGUGAGGAAGGUGGGGAUGACGUCAAAUCAGCACGGCCCUUACGUCCGGGGCUACACACGUGUUACAAUGGGGGGUACAGAGGGCCGCUACCACGCGAGUGGAUGCCAAUCCCCAAAACCUCUCUCAGUUCGGACUGGAGUCUGCAACCCGACUCCACGAAGCUGGAUUCGCUAGUAAUCGCGCAACAGCCACGGCGCGGUGAAUACGUUCCCGGGCCUUGUACACACCGCCCGUCAAGCCAUGGGAGCCGGGGGUACCUGAAGUGCGUAACCGCGAGGAGCGCCCUAGGGUAAAACUGGUGACUGGGGCUAA